rnacentral:tRNA from 1 species
AGGGGCGUAGUUCAGCGGCAGAACGCCGGACUCUGAAUCCGGAUGUCCCUGGUUCGAUCCCAGGCGUCCCCGCCA